AGAAUCAACGCUGGCGGCGUGCCUAACACAUGCAAGUCGAACGAGAAAGUGGAGCAAUCCAUGAGUAAAGUGGCGCACGGGUGAGUAACACGUGACUAACCUACCCUUGAGUGGGGGAUAACCUAGAGAAAUCUGGGCUAAUACCGCAUAACACCUACGGGUCAAAGGAGCAAUUCGCUUAAGGAGGGGGUCGCGGCAGAUUAGUUAGUUGGCGGGGUAAUGGCCCACCAAGACGGUGAUCUGUA
rnacentral:rRNA from 1 species